UGGGAUGUAGCUCAGUGGAAGAGUGCUUGCCUGGCAUUCAUGAGGCCCUGGGUUCAAUCCCCAACACCACAA
rnacentral:tRNA from 1 species